UACGAAGGGGGCUAGCGUUGUUCGGAAUUACUGGGCGUAAAGGGCGCGUAGGCGGUGUGUCAAGUCAGGCGUGAAAGCCCCGGGCUCAACCUGGGAACCGCGCUUGAGACUGGCACUCUCGAGUUCGGGAGAGGAUGGUGGAAUUCCCAGUGUAGAGGUGAAAUUCGUAGAUAUUGGGAAGAACACCGAUGGCGAAGGCAGCCAUCUGGACCGACACUGACGCUGAGGCGCGAAAGCGUGGGGAGCAAACAGG
rnacentral:rRNA from 1 species